AGUGAACGCUGGCGGCAGGCCUAAUACAUGCAAGUCGAACGGCAGCACAGCAGAGCUUGCUCUGUGGGUGGCGAGUGGCGGACGGGUGAGGAAUACAUGGGAAUCUGCCCAGUCGUGGGGGAUAACGUAUGGAAACGUACGCUAAUACCGCAUGCGCCCUACGGGGGAAAGCCGGGGACCGCAAGGCCUGGCGCGAUUGGAUGAGCCCAUGUUCGAUUAGCUAGUUGGCGGGGUAAAGGCCCACCAAGGCGACGAUCGAUAGCUGGUCUGAGAGGAUGAUCAGCCACACUGGAACUGAGACACGGUCCAGACUCCUACGGGAGGCAGCAGUAGGGAAUAUUGGACAAUGGGGGCAACCCUGAUCCAGCCAUGCCGCGUGAGUGAAGAAGGCCCUCGGGUUGUAAAGCUCUUUUGUCCGGAAAGAAAAGCAAUCGGUUAAUACCCGGUUGUCCUGACGGUACCGGAAGAAUAAGCACCGGCUAACUUCGCGCCAGC
rnacentral:rRNA from 1 species